GUCAUCAAUUAAAUAAAACAACAAUAUAGAAUUAAAUUGGUCCAUAUCUUGAAUUUUCUUUUUCUUUUCUACCAGAAGAUAGCUUUCUCUAAUGCCAAGACAUCAUAAUCAGCUUGCUCGUCCAUCAUUCUUAAGAAAUUGCAGAAGCAUUUCUUUCUCUCUAAUUCCUUAUACAAAGCACUUACGCAUCUUUAAUUCGAAACUGCACUCCGUCGAGGUUCUUUCUUCCUCUAAUUCCUUGUGCAUUUUUUAUUCGAGACUGCACUCCAUCGAAGUUGUUUAUUGAACAGUAUGAGCUCCAUUAAAGCUGGAAGUAUCAAUACUUUGCAACUUAUCACCAUGUACCUGAUGAGCAAUGGAAAUUCUCUUAUCUGCUAUUAAAUCAACCCCUGCAGUAGAAAUAUUUCAGAGAUAAACAACUCGACAUCUUCUUUUCAGCCUCAGAAUUCUUGAGCUUUUGAUGUAAAACAAAUUCAAGAACAAAUUUCUUUUUUUUUUUUGCUUUUCAACCCUUCAACCAAAACAGAUUCAGUAACUGGUGCAGAAAUAGUCUCAACAUUCACAAGAUUCUAUCUCAAAAAGCUUCAUUUGAAGACACGAGACCUUUAAAGUAUUCAUCCUACAACAACACCUGAGACUCAAGACCUUGAUAGAAGAGGAGGAGGAAGCGCUCUUUGUGACAAUAGAAGAUAGAGCUAUGCCUUUUGAAGCUGCUAUGGCACGGAUUUUGUAAGAUGGAGAAAAAAUUCCAUAAUAAAAACCAUCUAAAGAGCAAUUCGCUGCUCAGAAAUGAAGACUGAAAGAAAGGUAGGAGGAUUGAGAAGAACGUGUUGGCACAAUGCCUUAAUUUAUAAUUGAGGUUCAAACAAAGGAUAAUAGAUAAGACAAGAAAUCCAAUGUGGCGUCAGAUAGAUAAGGAAAAAGAAGAAUGAGAAAAUAAAGGAAAGAAAGAGAGAUAUUGAUGGGAGAUGACGUGUGAAGAUAGUGCUAGAAAUACAUAAGAAUCAAUUCUGCCCUGCUCAACAGAACAGAAGCAAAACCUUAUUUUACUGGUGAGGUCAAAAAAGAAAACAGCUCUCCGUUUCUCACCACCACUUAGGACUAUCGGACUGUCAUUUUAUGGAUAAGAUAGAACCUGGCAAGGAUACUCCAGAGGAAGUGACAAGGGAGUCGCUUAUUGCUAUCUCUUACUCCGUGCCAGACAAGACUCUUGCCUCAAAGCUCUUGUCAGAAAAUUUGGAAAGUAAGAAGCUUGUUAAAGUCGAUUGUGAUGAAGCAGACAACUAUAGGUCGGAGCUGCUGUCCAUAUCCAAUUCGCCGUCCCUGGAUAUCCAAGGGCUGCCAGUUACAAUUAGUUAGCUUGGAAUGCAGGUGCUGAAUUGCAGCUACCCUUCAAUCUUUCGUUUUGUUUUCUUGUUGCGGGGGGGGGGGGGAGGGAGGAAAUGUUUUGGCUUUCCUGGUGGGAAGACCUUGUGUAAUGGCUGGCUACUUGUAAUAUAUUCGGACAUUCUGGUGUGGUUUAAAUAACAGUUGAAAUGAUACAUGUCGUGUGGACUUGUAAUUCUAUUGCUA